rnacentral:SRP_RNA from 1 species
UCGCGGUAAGAUGGGGAGUUUGCGGUGCCCUGUAACCUGCAAUCCGCAUAGCAGGAUCGACGCUUUCUGGAGGUUUGCUGGCCGGAUGGGCUCAGCCGGGCAAGUAGUGUUGAAGGAUGGGUCCUCUGCAAUGGGGGGCCGUGAACUUGGUCAGAGGUUGACGCCAGCAGCCAUAAGCGUGACCCUCCAUGUGCCGGAGGGCUGCCUAUCCGGAGCUGGCUACCCGGUUGUCCUCUUCGGUCACCUAUCGAAGGAAAGUCUGCGG